rnacentral:rRNA from 1 species
GGGGUAUUUAUCUUCGGAUAGAGAGACCGGCGCACGGGUGCGUAACGCGUAUGCAAUCUACCUUUUACAGAGGGAUAGCCCAGAGAAAUUUGGAUUAAUACCUCAUAGUAUAUAGACUCGGCAUCGAGAUUAUAUUAAAGUCACAACGGUAAAAGAUGAGCAUGCGUCCCAUUAGCUAGUUGGUAAGGUAACGGCUUACCAAGGCUACGAUGGGUAGGGGUCCUGAGAGGGAGAUCCCCCACACUGGUACUGAGACACGGACCAGACUCCUACGGGAGGCAGCAGUGAGGAAUAUUGGACAAUGGGCGCAAGCCUGAUCCAGCCAUGCCGCGUGCAGGAUGACGGUCCUAUGGAUUGUAAACUGCUUUUAUACGAGAAGAAACACUACUUCGUGAAGUAGCUUGACGGUAUCGUAAGAAUAAGGAUCGGCUAACUCCGUGCCAGCAGCCGCGGUAAUACGGAGGAUCCAAGCGUUAUCCGGAAUCAUUGGGUUUAAAGGGUCCGUAGGCGGUUUAAUAAGUCAGUGGUGAAAGCCCAUCGCUCAACGGUGGAACGGCCAUUGAUACUGUUAGACUUGAAUUAUUAGGAAGUAACUAGAAUAUGUAGUGUAGCGGUGAAAUGCUUAGAGAUUACAUGGAAUACCAAUUGCGAAGGCAGGUUACUACUAAUUGAUUGACGCUGAUGGACGAAAGCGUGGGUAGCGAACAGGAUUAGAUACCCUGGUAGUCCACGCCGUAAACGAUGGAUACUAGCUGUUGGGAGCAAUCUCAGUGGCUAAGCGAAAGUGAUAAGUAUCCCACCUGGGGGAGUACGUUCGCAAGAAUGAAACUCAAAGGAAU